CCCAGGGCCUGCAGUCUCGACAAAGAUAGCGAUCGCUUAACGACAAAAUUCGGUCGAUAAGUCCUAACGAUCCGAUCGUAACGAUUUUUGGUAGUCUCUACUGCCAAAACUAUCGAGUGUCAUCGCAAAGUUACCGAAUAUUUUCGGUAAGAUAACGAUUUAUCGUUAUGUCAUAGAAUUUCCUUGCGACAGUUUUUGACAGCCCGCUAAGUGAUAGCUACUAUCGAUAUCGUUCCUAUAUUUGUUUAUUUUACGUCAGAAAAUAUUAAAUAAAUAGUAAUUUAAUAAAUAAUGGCUUCUGAAUAUUUAGCAUGGGACUUAGUUGUGCUCGAGCACAGACGCGAUGUGCUUAUGGGUCGACAAAUAGCACGAAACAAGCGAAACGAUGAAAAUCCCUUGGAUUUGGAGGAUGGCCAAUUUCUUCAAAUGUAUAGAAUUUCAAAGGAAAUGUUUCACAGGCUACUAAGUGAACUGCGUCCAUCUCUCCAAAGACGACGGCCUUACGGACUUUCUGUGGAGUCCCAAAUACUGACGGCACUCCGAUUUUACGCAUGUGGGUGCUACCAACAACCUGUUGGCUUGCAGUGGGGUUGUAGCAUGAGCCAAAAAUCUGUUAGCCGAGUCAUCCGGGCUGUAACUUCGGCAAUAAAUGAAAAACUUUUAAGAAAAUAUAUUAAAUUUCCAAUGACUCAAGGAGAACGCCAUGCGGCAAAACAGAAAUUUAGAAAUGCCCCACAGCCAUUCCCAGGGGUAUUGGAGCCAUUGAUUGCACCCAUAUAAAAAUUUUAGCUCCUAAGACCAAUGAGGAGUCUUAUGUGAGUGGUCACCAUGAGGGCCAUUCAUUAAAUGUGCAAGCUGUGUGUGACCCUGAUCUUAUUAUUUUAAAUAUUAAUGCUCGAUGGCCAGGAGCGAGACAUGAUGCUCACAUAUGGGCAAAUUCACCGGUGCGCUCAACAAUGAAGCGACAUUUUGAAAAUGGGGACCGCCGUGCUUGGCUGCUUGGUGAUGAUGGAUAUCCUCUGGAACCGUGGUUAAUGACUCCCAUAAAACAUCAACAGCCUGGCACACCGGAAUAUAAAUAUACCGAAGCACACUGCUCAGCUAGGAACAUCAUAGAAAGAUGCUUCGGUGUGCUAAAAUCUGUGUUUAGAUGUCUAUCACACCAACGCCAGUUAAUGUACGAACCCUAUAUGGCUGGCCUAAUAAUUAACGCAUGUGCAGUGCUCCACAAUAUGCGGAUAACAUAUAAAUUACCGGAACCAGAGUCCACCACAUCCAUGCAGCUGGUGGAUAAUAGUAGAUUCCAUGAUGAUAUGUUAGAAGUUACAGGUUCUGGGCGAGCUGUUGCAGAGCGCAUAAGAAGAAGGCUAAUUAACACUAGUUUCACAUAAUUAUUAUACUUUUUUCAUUUAUGUACUGUUUCAAAUAAAAACAUUUUAUAUCA